rnacentral:lncRNA from 1 species
GCCCUCAUAGCGCAGCGGCGGGCUGAAGAGCUCCUUGAGCGCGGCCAGAGCGGACGCCGAGGCCGAGGACGCGCCCAGAGCCAGCAAGGGAUGCUACCACGCUGUCACCUCUCACCGUGAGCCACAACUGCUGGUCCUGCGUUCACGGCUUUCCUUUGUCUUUCAGGUGGAGACGCGCUGACCUGCCCCAAUACCUAUUGUUGUUUGUUAAAUUACUCCAAGAUACUUAUAGUUAACGGCAAACACCCAUUUAUAACCACAAAUCAUGUCAGAUGUUCAGGACCAGCACAAUCAAUCAAGUAAACAGCACCCUCCUUGAGUAUGUGGCAGGUGUGUGAGGAUUUCAUGAACCUGUCCUGCAUUUCCAAAUCCAUCCUGAGGCCUCUCCCUGGACACAGGUCUGUGGAUCAGCCUGUACUCGGGCAGUUUUACCUUCUAUGUCUGUUUGUCACGGUCCUCUUGUCCUAGUGCUCAUCACUGCACGUUCCCAGCUCCAGCAAGUGGCCACUCUUUUCCCUCCACAACCAAAGGCCCGACGGCCCAGCCCCCCGGUGGCAGGUGGCCCUUCCAUGGCUGAGGUCACACACCCAGCAUCGCAUCCUGCCCUUCUCGGGGCCUCGGGCCCCUUCGACUCGUCUCCAGGGAUUGCACUUGCUCCUGCUGCCCACGGAGGUUUCCUUCCUGUGAUUCCACUCGGAGGGGGCGCUUUUCUUUGCUGGCUUCAACCAUCACAGAGCUGCUUUGUGUUCGCCGGCAGCUGCCACGCUUCCCUGAAAAGGCGGCUUCUGUUCUGCUGGAGAUGAGCUGAUUUGCCUGGCAGCCAACUUAAACAAGGAGGCAAGAAAACAGCAUAGACUGGGCUCCCAAAUACAUCUACA